UACCAGCUCUCCGAGUGGUAGGGAUGAUUAUUGGGCUUAAAGCGUCCGUAGCCGGCUUAGCAAGUCUCCUGUUAAAUUCAGCGACCUAAUCGUUGAGCCGCGGGAGAUACUACUAGGCUAGGAGGCGGGAGAGGUCGACGGUACUUCCGGGGGUAGGGGUGAAAUCCUAUAAUCCCGGGAGGACCACCAGUGGCGAAGGCUGUCGACUAGAACGCGCUCGACGGUGAGGGACGAAAGCUGGGGGAGCGAACCGGAUUAGAUACCCGGGUAGUCCCAGCUGUAAACGAUGCGGGCUAGGUGUUGGGGUGGCUACGUGCCACUUCAGUGCCGCAGGGAAGCCAUUAAGCCCGCCGCCUGGGGAGUACGGCCGCAAGGCUGAAACUUAAAGGAAUUGGCGGGGGAGCACCACAAGGCGUGAAGCUUGCGGUUC
rnacentral:rRNA from 1 species